UACGUAGGGUGCAAGGCGUUAUCCGGAAUUAUUGGGCGUAAAGAGCUCGUAGGCGGUUUGUCGCGUCUGCUGUGAAAACUGGAGGCUCAACCUCCAGCCUGCAGUGGGUACGGGCAAACUAGAGUGCGGUAGGGGAGAUUGGAAUUCCUGGUGUAGCGGUGGAAUGCGCAGAUAUCAGGAGGAACACCGAUGGCGAAGGCAGAUCUCUGGGCCGUAACUGACGCUGAGGAGCGAAAGCAUGGGGAGCGAACAGG
rnacentral:rRNA from 1 species